rnacentral:rRNA from 1 species
UACGUAGGCAGCAAGCGUUGUUCGGAGUUACUGGGCGUAAAGGGUGCGUAGGCGGUCCUAUAAGUAUGGUGUGAAAUCUCCCGGCUUAACUGGGAGGGUGCGCUAUAGACUGUGGGACUAGAGUGUGGGAGAGGAAAGUGGAAUUCCUGGUGUAGCGGUGAAAUGCGUAGAUAUCAGGAGGAACACCGGUGGUGUAAACGGCUUUCUGGACCAUAACUGACGCUGAGGCACGAAAAGCGUGGGGUAGCAAAACAGG